GUGAAUUGCAUCACUUAUCAGUAUGUAGAAUUGCUUGCUGAUUGAUAGUAGCAGUCUCAUUGGAAUUAAGAUGGAUAAUUUUAGUUUGGGCAGAAUGCAGAAAUAGUUGCAUCUCCACAGGACCUUCAUCUGCCUUCUUUCGCUUUACUUAUCUAAAAUAGAUCCUUUAAGCCUCUGGAGAUCCAGUAUACUUACAUGUCUGCUAAUGGCACCAGCAGGUAGGAGUGCAAAACAGUGUUUGAGGGUAUAUUGGUCAGAGAGCAUGAAGGCAGCAAGAUGUGUUGGAUUACAAAAUUGCAGCUGCUGUAAACAUACCUGCCAACAGGGCACAUUAUAAAAAUGAAGAUAUCUAGUAACACUUUAGUGAUCUACUGAAGCAGUACACAAGCAGCUAAUCUCUUGAUGUGCCAUAAAUCUGACCAAUAGUGGAUCCCGGACUUAUACCAUGUACUCUGUGAAUGUGGCAUAUUCGGGAUGUGCUACAAUUGCUGAAGAACACACCAAAUUUAUGUUACAUACCCAGAGAAAUGGCACUGUUGGAAUGUUGUGGGACUCAUAAGUCCUGGAAAAGCUAUGCUCACUGCAAGCUCGACAGAGUCACCUGCACCUGCAAGGCUGGCCGUGCCUGGGGCUGUCAUUCACCUUCCCUACAAGCAGCCAGAGGCAAAUGA
rnacentral:lncRNA from 1 species